rnacentral:rRNA from 1 species
UACAGAGGGGGCAAGCGUUGUUCGGAAUUACUGGGCGUAAAGGGCGCGUAGGCGGCCCGCUAAGUCGAACGUGAAAUCCCCAGGCUCAACCUGGGAACUGCGUCCGAUACUGGCAGGCUUGAAUCCGGGAGAGGGAUGUGGAAUUCCAGGUGUAGCGGUGGAAUGCAUAGAGAUCCGGAAGAACACCGGUGGCGAAGGCGGCCUGCUGGGCAGUUGCUGACACUGAGGCGCGACAGCGUGGGGAGCAAACAGG